rnacentral:tRNA from 1 species
GGAGAGGUGUCCGAGAGGCUGAAGGAGCACGCCUGGAAAGUGUGUGUACGUUAACGCGUAUCGAGGGUUCGAAUCCCUCCCUCUCCGCCA